rnacentral:lncRNA from 1 species
UCGAGCUAGGAGGGCACCAAGGGCGCAUGGCAGGCUCCCGAAUGGGCAGGUUAAUGCCUGAAGGGCGCCAUAGGCAGGGCAUAAGGUGCUGUGCCAUGCUGUUUUCCGUGUGUGUUUGGACUGCGGCACCAGACCGCAAAGCCAACAGGCUGAAGGCUGGCAAGCUGCGAUUGUGUCUGCUGAGCGUUGAGCAGCCGACCUGGACCGCGGACUUGGCAGCUGAGCGAGCUCAUCAGUAAUAGCAGUUUGCAGUCAGGCCCCUGGUGCGACUCGAGGGGGCAUGUUGGUGUGAAGGGGGUGUGCCGUGUCGCCCCGUGGCCUGCAAAAGGCCCCACG